UGUCUGUGUGCCGAAACCUUCUGCUUUUUGUUUACGUUGCAGGAAACAGUCAAGUUGCUUCCCAAGUCUCCUAAACUGCAUGGCGGCCAUAACUGGAAUUCCCAGGGCCCCCGCUGGGGUUCUUUGAAAGGAAAGGAGAGCACCCAAGGGAGCAGCCUGUACAAGUUUAGCUCAGCAAAGGAAAAAUGGAAGGAAGGGCGAAUCAGUCCUGAACAAGAAGCUGAGGAACUGGAGGAUCCUGAUGAGGAUGAGCCUAUAUCCAAAUUCUCUGGGAGCCUUUUUGAUUCCAGUGAUAACAUCCGGGACCAAAGAAGCGCUAGAGUUGGCCUUCAACAGGAGAGACAGAAAGUGGCACCAAAAGGGAAAAAUGUUCCAGCAGCCAACAAGAAGCCGCAGGUCCCAGCUGCAGCUACUACCAAUAGCCUCCCAACGGAGGGCAUCAGGUUUUCCAAGGAAAGCAAAGACCAAGUCCUUGGAGCUGCAGACUCAACUCAGGCACCUUUGAAGGGGAUUUUAAUAGCUCAUGUCUCCAAAGAUGUCCCAGUUGAAAUGGAGGAGGAACAAUCUGAAGACAAAGUAUUAGAGGAUGCCACUUUUUCUGAACCCAGCACACCUGAUUCUGGUCCUGCAGAGCUACCAUCUAAAAGUGGUCCAUUUCAAACAAUAAACCAUGUUAUAACAGUAAGUAAUGGUGGAUUAUAUGAACAAGAGGGAUAAUGAAUUCCUACCAUCUGGGGUGAUUUAAAAUAUAGUUCCUUGACACCUGAAAUUUACUUUUCCUGUCUAGUUUGUUUACUGAUUUAAACACAACAACCCAUUAAAUAGCAGUACAAGAUAGGCAAUAUAUUUCUUUAAACAGUAUUUGUGCUGUAUUUUUACGCCUGCUCUCUUGUGUCAUUGGUUGACUCCUCUACACAUGUAUUGAGGAGCCUGCAUUUUUGCUGUGGAAAAGGUAAAGAAGCCAGGAAAGGGAUGGACUUAUUCCCGGCUCUCCUCAUUGCUUGAGACUAAUGAUCUUGUCACAUGGCCACCGGAAUCGCCCCAUGUCAUCUCGAGUCUUUGAGGGGAGUGGGGAACCCAGCACCCCAUGCCCUGCAUCACCUCGCUGCAGAUUUCAUUGAUCCUAUGGCGGGGGGGAGCGUUGACCAUACGGCUUCCUUUCAUGGCUUCCUAUGAGAACAUGGGAAGCCUCCCAUGUUGCUGUGGCAGUGGCAUGCUCUGGCUUCACCUUAUUUCACUCAUAGAUCCCCAUUGACAUUGUUUGAUGGGAGCUGGUGGACUCCAUGGGUAAUGUAGGGUAGAGCUGACAUAUGUCGUCGAAAUUUUGCCCUUGUGAUGAGAUCGUUAAACACAACUUGAGCCUGUAUUUAUACAGGAGGUCCUCCACUUCAGUGGGGGUUAGGGACACAAGAACCCCCCCAAAAGUAAGAAAAUUCAAACAAAAAUUGCUAUUAUUGUUAUCUGAGAGAACAACUCUAGGAGUAUUAGGCCGCUUUGUAGAGCAUAAUUUACAUUUGCAAAUAAAAUAUUGUUCCCCCCUUGCCACACAAAGUCAAAAAGUGAUGGGCAAUCAGAGAAGUAGUCGGAAGGACAAACCAUCAGACUUCAAAUGAAAUGUAAUUAAUGAUCAAAUAUAAUGAUAAUGAUUAUGAUGACGUGAUAGAUUAGUUGGCAGGCAGGUACUUUAACCUACCAGCACUCCAAGUAGUGCUUAAAGAGCUGUUAAAAAUUAUUACAUGCCAAUUGCAAAACAAUGCAUAAUGUAUUACCUAGCUGAGAAAGUAUUUUAAUAAUUAAGAAUAUUGUGUCAUAUCCAUGUAUCCAGUACUUGAGUUUCAGCAAAUAUAUGACACCUAGUUUUAGAAAGAAGAAGAGGGGGUUUGUGAGUGAAUGUUCAUGUUGCUUCCUCGUUUCCCUUGCCCAUUUCAUUUUUUUUUCAUGCUCUCUUCCCUUUCUUGUACCCAAGAUACCUCGCAUCAUCCUAACACGCCCUUCAACUUCAGAUGAAGAUACUGACCAGUUACCACAAGACCCGGAUGAUUUUGAGCCAGAGGAAACAGAGAAUACUGAAGGCCACCUCUAUUCAGACUGUUUAAACAAUGCUUUUUAUCCUCCUUAAUAAAAUGUUCUUUUUAGGAAAAACAACAACAACUAAGUAUCAUGGUAUUUAUUGUUCUUUUACUGUCACAUGGAAAGGUGAAGGCGAAGGGAGAAGAUUUGGAGAGGGUGAGAGGAAAAAGGGUCUAUCAAGAUGGGGAGCCAUGUAGGAUGGGUGCCAGGGAAGGCAGCUUGUAUUUCAGGUCGACUGAGAUUACUCAAGAUAGCUAAGAUGGAAGAGAGAAUGUGCUUGGAAGUAUUUAUCUACAUACAAACAAAGAAAAACAAAACAUUUCACAGCUGCUUCUCUGUACCUAACAACCUUGAGGGACUGGCGAUUAGGUACUUAAGACUUUCAUAGCAUUUAAUGGACUAUAUCCAAGGACAAUCUCAUAUGGACAUUUUCAUGUUUCUAAUUGACAGAAAGCCACAAGCAAGUGGUUUGUCUCUAGUAAGUGUAAUCAUAUAUAUGUAGUAUUAUGGAUUUCUGUGCUUUUACUUCUCAAGAAGCAAGCAUAAAUGAAGGUACAGGUGGGAAACAGCAGUCCUUUGGAUCAAUUCUUUUUGAGUUGAGGAGAAGAUAGUGAUUAGCAUUUUUCUCCUAAUGUUUUAGGAACUGCCACCAUAUUUAUUCCCAUUGUCUACAACUGAGAAUUUCUUUCCUGGGAAAUCUCUGUGGACCAACAAUUGCACUGGUCUACCACAUUCAGUAGUCCUGCUCUAGGA
ensembl:lncRNA